AUACGUAGGGGGCAAGCGUUAACCGGAAUUAUUGGGCGUAAAGCGUGCGUAGGUGGUUACCUAAGCGCAAGGUUUAAUCUUGAGGCUCAACCUCAUUCUGCCUUGCGAACUGGGCUACUUGAGUGCUGGAGGGGAAAGCGGAAUUCCUAGUGUAGCGGUGAAAUGCGUAGAUAUUAGGAAGAACACCGGUGGCGAAGGCGGCUUUCUGGACAGUAACUGACACUGAGGCACGAAAGCGUGGGGAGCAAACAGGAUUAGAUACCCUGGUAGUCCACGCCGUAAACGAUGAGCACUAGUUGUUGGGUCCGAAUGGAUUCAGUGACGCAGUUAACGCAAUAAGUGCUCCGCCUGGGGAGUACGGUGGCAACACUAAAACUCAAAGGAAUUGACGGGG
rnacentral:rRNA from 1 species